GACGAACGCUGGCGGCGUGCCUAAUACAUGCAAGUAGAACGCUGAAGCGAGGAGCUUGCUCUUCUUGGAUGAGUUGCGAACGGGUGAGUAACGCGUAGGUAACCUGCCUUGUAGCGGGGGAUAACUACUGGAAACGAUAGCUAAUACCGCAUAACAAUGGAUGACACAUGUCAUUUAUUUGAAAGGGGCAAUUGCUCCACUACAAGAUGGACCUGCGUUGUAUUAGCUAGUAGGUGAGGUAACGGCUCACCUAGGCGACGAUACAUAGCCGACCUGAGAGGGUGAUCGGCCACACUGGGACUGAGACGAGGCCCAGACUCCUACGGGACGCAGCAGGAGGGAAUCUUCGGCAAUGGGGGCGACCCUGACCGAGCAACGCCGCGUGAGUGAAGAAGGUGUUCGGAUCGGAAAGCUCUGUUGUCAGUCAAGAACCAGUGUGAGAGUGGAAAGUUCACACUGUGACGGUAGCUUACCAGAAAGGGACGGCUAACUACGUG
rnacentral:rRNA from 1 species